ACGGAAGGCAGCAGUGAGGAAUAUUGGUCAAUGGGCGGAAGCCUGAACCAGCCAAGUCGCGUGAAGGAUGAAGGUAUUAUGUAUUGUAAACUUCUUUAGCAGUGGAGUAAUAAGGGGAUCGUGAUCCCUGAUGCAAGUACACUGAAAAUAAGGAUCGGCUAACUCCGUGCCAGCAGCCGCGGUAAUACGGAGGAUCCGAGCGUUAUCCGGAUUUAUUGGGUUUAAAGGGUGCGCAGGCGGCCCUGUAAGUCAGCGGUUAAAUCGUGGAGCUCAACUCCAUCCCGCCGUUGAUACUGCAGGGCUUGAUUGCGGUCGAGGUUGGCGGAAUUCGUCGUGUAGCGGUGAAAUGCAUAGAUAUGACGAAGAACACCGAUUGCGUAGGCAGCUGACCAGGCCGUAAAUGACGCUCAUGCACGAAAGUGCGGGGAUCAAACAGGAUUAGAUACCCUGGUA
rnacentral:rRNA from 1 species